rnacentral:rRNA from 1 species
GGGCCCGCACAAGCGGUGGAGCAUGUGGUUUAAUUCGAUGAUACGCGAGGAACCUUACCAGGGCUUAAAUGUAGUCUGACAGAUUUGGAAACAGAUUUUUCUUCGGACAGAUUACAAGGUGCUGCAUGGUUGUCGUCAGCUCGUGCCGUGAGGUGUCAGGUUAAGUCCCGCAACGAGCGCAACCCCACGUCUUUAGUUGCCAGCAUUUUAGUUGGGCACUCUAGAGAGACCGCCGGUGACAAACCGGAGGAAGUGUGGAUGACGUCAAGUCAUCAUGCCCCUUACGUCCUGGGGCUACACACGUACUACAAUGCUACGGACAAAGAGCAGCUAACUCGCGAGAGUACGCAAAUCUCAUAAACGUGGCUCAG